rnacentral:lncRNA from 1 species
AAAAAACCACGGGACCAACACGCGAUAACAAUCCACUAAGAAUAAAAGAUUACAAGGUGAUUUACCGAUUCCACGGACUCAAACCUCUCUUUUAUCUUCUCCGGAUCUCGCGCACACCAACAGGUUGUCCACGCCCCACAUCUGAAUCCACGAACGUCACGUCCCGAAUCCACGAAACGUCCACACUUCGAAUCCACGAAGCCUUGAUCACGCCGAAUCCACGACGCCCACUCGAAUCCACGAGCACACUCCGUC